rnacentral:tRNA from 1 species
ACACGAUCCCGGGCGCGGUGGUCAUCAAGCGGCACAAGGACAUCU